rnacentral:rRNA from 1 species
UACCAGCGGUCCAAGUCGCAACCACAAUUAUUGGGUCUAAAACAUCUGUAGCUUGCUUUGCAAGUCUCUUGUGAAAUCUUAUAUCUCAAGUAUAAGGCGUGCAGGAGAUACUGCAGAGCUAGAGACCGGGAGACGUAAGAAGUAUGGUUAAGGUAGUAGUAAAAUACGUUGAUCUUAAUCAGACUAACAAUAGCGAAGGCAUCUUACGAGCACGGAUCUGACAGUGAGAGAUGAAGGCUAGGGGCGCGAAAAG